rnacentral:rRNA from 1 species
GGUUAAGCGACUAAGCGUACACGGUGGAUGCCCUGGCAGUCAGAGGCGAUGAAGGACGUGCUAAUCUGCGAUAAGCGUCGGUAAGGUGAUAUGAACCGUUAUAACCGGCGAUUUCCGAAUGGGGAAACCCAGUGUGAUUCGUCACACUAUCAUUAACUGAAUCCAUAGGUUAAUGAGGCGAACCGGGGGAACUGAAACAUCUAAGUACCCCGAGGAAAAGAAAUCAACCGAGAUUCCCCCAGUAGCGGCGAGCGAACGGGGAGGAGCCCAGAGCCUGAAUCAGUGUGUGUGUUAGUGGAAGCGUCUGGAAAGGCGCGCGAUACAGGGUGACAGCCCCGUACACAAAAAUGCACAUGCUGUGAGCUCGAUGAGUAGGGCGGGACACGUGGUAUCCUGUCUGAAUAUGGGGGGACCAUCCUCCAAGGCUAAAUACUCCUGACUGACCGAUAGUGAACCAGUACCGUGAGGGAAAGGCGAAAAGAACCCCGGCGAGGGGAGUGAAAAAGAACCUGAAACCGUGUACGUACAAGCAGUGGGAGCACGCUUAGGCGUGUGACUGCGUACCUUUUGUAUAAUGGGUCAGCGACUUAUAUUCUGUAGCAAGGUUAACCGAAUAGGGGAGCCGAAGGGAAACCGAGUCUUAACUGGGCGUUAAGUUGCAGGGUAUAGACCCGAAACCCGGUGAUCUAGCCAUGGGCAGGUUGAAGGUUGGGUAACACUAACUGGAGGACCGAACCGACUAAUGUUGAAAAAUUAGCGGAUGACUUGUGGCUGGGGGUGAAAGGCCAAUCAAACCGGGAGAUAGCUGGUUCUCCCCGAAAGCUAUUUAGGUAGCGCCUCGUGAAUUCAUCUCCGGGGGUAGAGCACUGUUUCGGCAAGGGGGUCAUCCCGACUUACCAACCCGAUGCAAACUGCGAAUACCGGAGAAUGUUAUCACGGGAGACACACGGCGGGUGCUAACGUCCGUCGUGAAGAGGGAAACAACCCAGACCGCCAGCUAAGGUCCCAAAGUCAUGGUUAAGUGGGAAACGAUGUGGGAAGGCCCAGACAGCCAGGAUGUUGGCUUAGAAGCAGCCAUCAUUUAAAGAAAGCGUAAUAGCUCACUGGUCGAGUCGGCCUGCGCGGAAGAUGUAACGGGGCUAAACCAUGCACCGAAGCUGCGGCAGCGACGCUUAUGCGUUGUUGGGUAGGGGAGCGUUCUGUAAGCCUGCGAAGGUGUGCUGUGAGGCACGCUGGAGGUAUCAGAAGUGCGAAUGCUGACAUAAGUAACGAUAAAGCGGGUGAAAAGCCCGCUCGCCGGAAGACCAAGGGUUCCUGUCCAACGUUAAUCGGGGCAGGGUGAGUCGACCCCUAAGGCGAGGCCGAAAGGCGUAGUCGAUGGGAAACAGGUUAAUAUUCCUGUACUUGGUGUUACUGCGAAGGGGGGACGGAGAAGGCUAUGUUGGCCGGGCGACGGUUGUCCCGGUUUAAGCGUGUAGGCUGGUUUUCCAGGCAAAUCCGGAAAAUCAAGGCUGAGGCGUGAUGACGAGGCACUACGGUGCUGAAGCAACAAAUGCCCUGCUUCCAGGAAAAGCCUCUAAGCAUCAGGUAACAUCAAAUCGUACCCCAAACCGACACAGGUGGUCAGGUAGAGAAUACCAAGGCGCUUGAGAGAACUCGGGUGAAGGAACUAGGCAAAAUGGUGCCGUAACUUCGGGAGAAGGCACGCUGAUAUGUAGGUGAAGUCCCUCGCGGAUGGAGCUGAAAUCAGUCGAAGAUACCAGCUGGCUGCAACUGUUUAUUAAAAACACAGCACUGUGCAAACACGAAAGUGGACGUAUACGGUGUGACGCCUGCCCGGUGCCGGAAGGUUAAUUGAUGGGGUUAGCGCAAGCGAAGCUCUUGAUCGAAGCCCCGGUAAACGGCGGCCGUAACUAUAACGGUCCUAAGGUAGCGAAAUUCCUUGUCGGGUAAGUUCCGACCUGCACGAAUGGCGUAAUGAUGGCCAGGCUGUCUCCACCCGAGACUCAGUGAAAUUGAACUCGCUGUGAAGAUGCAGUGUACCCGCGGCAAGACGGAAAGACCCCGUGAACCUUUACUAUAGCUUGACACUGAACAUUGAGCCUUGAUGUGUAGGAUAGGUGGGAGGCUUUGAAGUGUGGACGCCAGUCUGCAUGGAGCCGACCUUGAAAUACCACCCUUUAAUGUUUGAUGUUCUAACGUGGACCCGUAAUCCGGGUUGCGGACAGUGUCUGGUGGGUAGUUUGACUGGGGCGGUCUCCUCCUAAAGAGUAACGGAGGAGCACGAAGGUUGGCUAAUCCUGGUCGGACAUCAGGAGGUUAGUGCAAUGGCAUAAGCCAGCUUGACUGCGAGCGUGACGGCGCGAGCAGGUGCGAAAGCAGGUCAUAGUGAUCCGGUGGUUCUGAAUGGAAGGGCCAUCGCUCAACGGAUAAAAGGUACUCCGGGGAUAACAGGCUGAUACCGCCCAAGAGUUCAUAUCGACGGCGGUGUUUGGCACCUCGAUGUCGGCUCAUCACAUCCUGGGGCUGAAGUAGGUCCCAAGGGUAUGGCUGUUCGCCAUUUAAAGUGGUACGCGAGCUGGGUUUAGAACGUCGUGAGACAGUUCGGUCCCUAUCUGCCGUGGGCGCUGGAGAACUGAGGGGGGCUGCUCCUAGUACGAGAGGACCGGAGUGGACGCAUCACUGGUGUUCGGGUUGUCAUGCCAAUGGCACUGCCCGGUAGCUAAAUGCGGAAGAGAUAAGUGCUGAAAGCAUCUAAGCACGAAACUUGCCCCGAGAUGAGUUCUCCCUGACUCCUUGAGAGUCCUGAAGGAACGUUGAAGACGACGACGUUGAUAGGCCGGGUGUGUAAGCGCAGCGAUGCGUUGAGCUAACCGGUACUAAUGAACCGUGAGGCUUAACCUU